rnacentral:snRNA from 1 species
GGAUGUGGGGGCGAUUUGGCUGCAACAUCUGUCACUCCAUUGAUCUCCUGGGUUGAUUCGGCAGAUCUGACUGGCUAGGCAGCUGUCCCCUCCCUCCUUCUGAAGCAGAAGCUCCAAGAGGAUGACCUUCCCCGAUGGAGGAGGACUGUUCUUCUUCGGUCAAGGGUAUAGGACUAGCUGCACUUCCUUGCUAGAACCUCCAAACAAGCUCAAGAACAGCUGAAACAGGAAAUAAGGGAAUACCAGUGACACGGUAACUAAUUGGACUAUAUAAAUGAAAAGAAAAAUAU